rnacentral:rRNA from 1 species
GACGAAGGUGGCGAGCGUUGUUCGGAAUCACUGGGCUUAAAGCGCACGUAGGCGGCUCAUCAAGCGUCUUGUGAAAUCCCUCGGCUCAACCGAGGAAUUGCUGGGCGAACUGAUGGGCUUGAGGCAGGUAGGGGCAAGUGGAACUCUUGGUGGAGCGGUGGAAUGCGUAGAUAUCAAGAGGAACGCCGGUGGCGAAGGCGACUUGCUGGGCCUGUCCUGACGCUGAGGUGCGAAAGCCAGGGGAGCAAACGGGAUUAGAUACCCCGGUAGUCCUGGCCCUAAACUAUGUCCACUAGGUCGGAUGAAUUCUGACACUUUUCCGGCCGAAACAAAAGCGUUAAGUGGACCGCCUGGGGAGUACGGUCGCAAGGCUAAA